rnacentral:rRNA from 1 species
CAGCAGCCACGGUAAUACAGAGGUCUCAAGCGUUGUUCGGAUUCAUUGGGCGUAAAGGGAGCGUAGGCGGUCGGGUAAGUUGGAUGUGAAAUCCUGGGGCUCAACCUCAGAACUGCAUUCAAUACUGCUUGGCUAGAGUACUGGGGAGGUGAGUGGAAUUCACGGUGUAGCAGUGAAAUGCGUAGAUAUCGUGAGGAAGACCAGCGGCGAAGGCGGCUCACUGGACAGUUACUGACGCUGAUGCUCGAAGGCCAGGGGAGCAAACGGGAUUAGAUACCCCCGUAGUCCUUGUCUCUUAUAA